rnacentral:rRNA from 1 species
UGGGGAAUAUUGCACAAUGGGCGCAAGCCUGAUGCAGCCAUGCCGCGUGUAUGAAGAAGGCCUUCGGGUUGUAAAGUACUUUCAGCGGGGAGGAAGGGAGUAAAGUUAAUACUUUUGCUCAUUGACGUUACCCGCAGAAGAAGCACCGGCUAACUCCGUGCCAGCAGCCGCGGUAAUACGUAGGUGGCAAGCGUUGUCCGGAUUUAUUGGGCGUAAAGCGAGCGCAGGCGGUUUCUUAAGUCUGAUGUGAAAGCCCCCGGCUCAACCGGGGAGGGUCAUUGGAAACUGGGAGACUUGAGUGCAGAAGAGGAGAGUGGAAUUCCAUGUGUAGCGGUGAAAUGCGUAGAUAUAUGGAGGAACACCAGUGGCGAAGGCGGCUCUCUGGUCUGUAACUGACGCUGAGGCUCGAAAGCGUGGGGAGCAAACAGG